GGAUGGGGGUUCAAGCAGAGAGGGACUGAGGACUCACAGGCACCUAGCCUCUCCUCCAGCAGCAGCACCUGGUCGCUGAGAGACUCAAUCCUGUCGCUCCAGCCCCAUAGCUCCGCCACCUGUUCUGGCUGUAACUCUUCAGGUGGCAUGGGCAGCACAGCUCGGACCCAGGCCCCAGCCUGACGGGCCCACUACAAAGGAAGACACCUCAAGAGUAUUGGAGGUGGGGCACACCCCACCCAGGGGGCUUGGCCCAGGCAUCUACCCUUACCUGCUCCAGUCGCUCCAGGCGCCCCCGCAGCUCCCAAAUCUCCCGCCUCAAGGCGUGCUCAUCAUGUUCUGCUUCCCGAACUGGGACAAAAGGGAGCAGCGUGACCCGCUGCCAUUGAGCCCGGGCCCUCACUGACACCCCUACUGCCACCCACUCACCCGCCACGCUGAGGACGCUGGUGCCAGUUGGGGGCUCCAGGUUGCCCUCUGCACAGGUGCGCCCAUCUGGGCCCAGCACCAGACCUUGGGGACAACCACAGGUGAAGCUGCCUGCCGUGUUGAGGCAAUGGUGUGAGCAGAGGGUGACGCCAGUCCUACAUUCAUCCACGUCUAGUUAACAGAAAGAGGAGAGGGCUGAAGCGGGAGGGGGGGGGGGAGCUGGUGCCCCAAGGGGAGUGAGGUCCUGGCACCACUGGAGGAGGAAGGGAACUCACCCACGUGACAGUGCUUCCCACCCCAGCCUGGGGCGCACUGGCACUGCUCUGGCCUGACGCAGACACCUCGGUUCAGACAGGGCUUGGCGCAGAUGGCUGUGGGUGCAGAAGGGCAGUUCAAAACAGGACCAACAGCCAGCCUCCCCAGCCCCGCAGCGCACCCCUGUCCCCAGGCCUGGGAAGACCCAGUCUCACCUUCAUCACAGGAUUCAAAGCCUCGAAUACUCAUAUCCUGCACCCCAAACCAUGGACCUGGAAACUGCACCUAUCCCUGCUGCCUCUCUCACCAGCACCCCUCACUCACACAACACUUCCCAACGCACAUUCUAAGGCUCAUCCUCCAGUGACAUGUUCUCCCCACCUGUCUUUUCCUCCGGAGACUCCAGCAGACCAGCCUCAGCAGCAGCAGCUCAGACUGGUGGGUGGGUGGGGCAGGCUGGGAAGGAGAGAAGGGGCUGGGCCAGACAAUCCUCCCAUUCCCCGCCCCCUCCCACAAGCGUCCUCCAUAGCUCCUGCUCUAACUGCUCAGUGGGAUCCAAGUCCCACAACGCUCACAACCGCCCCAGCAAAGGGCCCCCAGAAGUAAAUUUCCAACUCCGAGGCUCCUUCUUCCUACACUCCCCAAAUCGGCAGAGGCCACUGGCUCUAUGACACCACUGGUCCCCCUGGCCCUUGCCACACCCCUCAACCCAACACAGGCUGGGGGAGAAGUGGGGGCAGGGAGAGAGACAGAGCUGGCAGAGGAAAGCAGGGUCAGGUCAUGGGAGAAGAGGCAAGAUCAGCUGAAGAAAGAAAGGAAGAGGGGGGCGGGGAGGUGCCCAAUGCCUUAUGGGGAAAUUGCCCCCCAUUCCUUGAUGACAUUUGUUAGGGCCUGGGGUGGGGGCGAGUUGAGUCUGCCACCGCCCCCCAAGCCAGAGCAGACAGGGCCCUAUUGUCUCCACCAAAAUUCCUUCUUUCAAGGAAGAGGAGGCUCAUUGUCCAGCCCCUCACCCAACUCUGGCCUACAAAGGUCAUAAAGGGGUGCAACAAAUGCCCACCCUGACCCUUAGCCCCCUCAUCUAGCCUGGGGGUAGCAGGCACAUUCCACCCAUGAGGCUGAGGCACAAGCCACUGGAGCCCUGGGCUCAGUCCCCCAAGCUUAGGCUGGGACAGGAAGAGAAUUGUCCUCUGCAGGAAAGAACCCACAGAGAAUCAGGAACCCACACAGAAUGGGCAUUUAGAGAGCGGAAACACCAAGGGGGUCCCACCCCAGACCAGGCAUCCGGGCACCCAGACCUCAGGCUCUCCAUCUCCACCCUCCUUGGGGAGCCGGGUCCCCUUCACCUGGAAAUGAGUCAAGCCACACUGAAGAAAUGGAACUUUAUUUCCAUUAAUACAGGGUUAACACCCAUUCAAUGGUAGCUAAAAGAGGGGCUGGGGCCUCAAAGAAACUAGGCUCCCAGGGGGUACCCCAACACUGAACAUAGGGACUGGGGGAUCCCCAAACCUGAGAUGGGCCUCACGGGCCAUAGAUAUUCCCCAACACUGACAUUUCAAGAACGGAACCGUCCCCAUAGGGGAGCCUCAGAACCCCACUCUCAUGGGUAGUCCUUCCUGGGAGUUGGGAGGGCUGAGGAAAAGGGAAUAUGGGGAGAACAGAAGCUAAAAAUGUCCUGAGUGGCUUAGAAGGAGACCUCCGUAGUGAGCAGGGACUGGGUUCUCCUCCUGUUCGGCCGGAGACGGAGCAGCAGCAGCAGCAGCAGGAGCAGCCACAAGUUAAAAACCUGGUUUCUCUCUUCCCAACCUCUGCUUUGGGACGGUGAGAGAGCACAGAGCAAACCCCAGACGUGAUGUGGGGGAAACCAGGAUUUGUCAUUUAGGAGAAGAGGAAGGGGUCCUGGGAGCCCUGGUUGGUGCAGGCAGUGUGGGAGCAAUGGGUGAUCAGAGGCACACCAGAGCCUGACAUCUGCUUUCCAAGGCCACCGCUUGGUCUCUGGGCUGGGGAGUUCCUGGGGGGUCCCUGAGGACAUCCUCAGGAGAGCCAAGGUUCAAUGCAGGUCUCAUAAAGGGUCCGGUUGGAGUGCCAGGCCGUAUGGGAGAUCCCAGCCAUCGGACACCUCACUAUGGCUCCCCGAGCCAACAGCGUCUUCAACCCAAAAGAAUCCCGCAGAUAAACCUUCAAAGUGAGCAAAGGGUCAAAGAAAGACAGGGAGAAACAAAGUGAGCUCCUGCUGCUGUCCCUGUCCCCGUCCCCUCCCCACAGGGUGAACCUUUCAGUGUCAGUGGCAGGGAGGAAGGACAGGGCAUGAAGAAGUGGGAAGAAAUCCCAGGGGGCUCACCAGUUGCUCCUCCAUCUCCAAGACGGUCUCAUUUGCAUCAUAGAAACCAAAGAAGCUACAAAGAGAUUGAGGGUGGGCAGGGGAGGAAGUUAUCAAGAGAGCUGGAGAAAAUCAAGGUAGGCCAGAGGACUUCGGGAAUUCACAGCCUGUUGAAACAGGCAGCAAGGAAGACAUUCAAAUAUUUAACUGGAUAUCAUGUAGCUUAUGGAAGUGAUACACUGAGGCCACAGCAUGACUUCUGCAGAGUCCCCUCGAAAAUGUGUCACCCGAACCUACUCAUGAGGAAACCACUGACAAACCCAAACUGAGGGACAUUCUACAAAAUGGCUAGACCAUACGCUCCAAAAACAUAAAUGUCAGAGAGGAACACUGAGGAAGUAUUCCAGGAAAAAAAGAGACAUAACAAGUAAAUGCAACACAUGAUCCCA